rnacentral:rRNA from 1 species
GACGAACGCUGGCGGCGUGCCUAAUACAUGCAAGUAGAACGCUGAAGGAGGAGCUUGCUUCUCUGGAUGAGUUGCGAACGGGUGAGUAACGCGUAGGUAACCUGCCUGGUAGCGGGGGAUAACUAUUGGAAACGAUAGCUAAUACCGCAUAAUAGUAGAUGUUGCAUGACAUUUACUUAAAAGGUGCAAUUGCAUCACUACCAGAUGGACCUGCGUUGUAUUAGCUAGUUGGUGGGGUAACGGCUCACCAAGGCGACGAUACAUAGCCGACCUGAGAGGGUGAUCGGCCACACUGGGACUGAGACACGGCCCAGACUCCUACGGGAGGCAGCAGUGGGGAAUCUUCGGCAAUGGACGAAAGUCUGACCGAGCAACGCCGCGUGAGUGAAGAAGGUUUUCGGAUCGUAAAGCUCUGUUGUAAGAGAAGAACGAGUGUGAGAGUGGAAAGUUCACACUGUGACGGUAUCUUACCAGAAAGGGACGGCUAACUACGUG